rnacentral:rRNA from 1 species
GCACAAGCGGUGGAUGAUGUGGUUAAUUCGAUGCAACGCGAAAACCUUACCACCUUUGACAUGUACGGAAUCCUUUAGAGAUAGAGGAGUGCUCGAAAGAGAACCGUAACACAGGUGCUGCAUGGCUGUCGUCAGCUCGUGUCGUGAGAUGUUGGGUUAAGUCCCGCAACGAGCGCAACCCUUGUCAUUAGUUGCUACAUUCAGUUGGGCACUCUAAUGAGACUGCCGGUGACAAACCGGAGGAAGGUGGGGAUGACGUCAAGUCCUCAUGGCCCUUAUAGGUGGGGCUACACACGUCAUACAAUGGAUGGUACAAAGGGUCGCCAACCCGCGAGGGGGAGCCAAUCCCAUAAAGCCAUUCGUAGUCCGGAUCGCAGUCUGCAACUCGACUGCGUGAAGUCGGAAUCGCUAGUAAUCGUGGAUCAGAAUGUCACGGUGAAUACGUUCCCGGGUCUU